rnacentral:rRNA from 1 species
UACGGGGGGGGCAAGCGUUGUUCGGAAUUACUGGGCGUAAAGGGCUCGUAGGCGGCCAACUAAGUCAGACGUGAAAUCCCUCGGCUUAACCGGGGAACUGCGUCUGAUACUGGAUGGCUUGAAUCCGGGAGAGGGAUGCGGAAUUCCAGGUGUAGCGGUGAAAUGCGUAGAUAUCUGGAGGAACACCGGUGGCGAAGGCGGCAUCCUGGGACCGGCAUUGACGCUGAGGAGCGAAAGCCAGGGGAGCAA